GGAGGAAAAGAACACAACAGGGAUUGCCUCAGUAACGGCGAGCGAAGUGGCAAAAGCUCAGAUUUGAAAGCAGGUACUGUUGGUACUUGCAUUGUAAUCUGUAGAGGGGUGUUCGGGUAUGGCUUAGGCCCAAGUUCCUUGGAACAGGACAUCAUUGAGGGUGAGAAUCCCGUGAAUGGUCUUUGUCCUAUGCUCAUGUGAACCCCCUUCAAUGAGUCGAGUUGUUUGGGAAUGCAGCUCUAAAUGGGUGGUAUAUUUCAUCUAAAGCUAAAUAUUGGCAGGAGACCGAUAGCGUACAAGUAGAGUGAUCGAAAGAUGAAAAGAACUUUGGAAAGAGAGUUAAAUAGUACGUGAAAUUGUUGAAAGGGAAGCACUUGUGCCCAGACUUGCCUGCAGCUGAUCAACUGUCAUUUUUUGGCAGUGCACUUGGUUGUGGGCAGGCCAGCAUCAGUCAGGAUGGUAGGAAAAAGGUGCAGGGAAUGUAGCUCUUUCGAGAGUGUUAUAGCCCUGUAUGUAAUGCUGUCAGUACCUGACUGAGGACUACGCUUUAGCAAGGAUGCUGGCUUAAUGGGUAUAAGUGACCCGUCUUGAAACACGGACCAAGGAGUCUAACAGCUGUGCAAGUGUUUGGGUGACAAACUCUUACGCACAAUGAAAGUGAAUGGAGGUGGGAACUGCAAGGUGCACCAUCGACCGAUCCUGAUGUCUUCGGAUGGAUUUGAGUAGGAGCAUAGCUGUUGGGACCCGAAAGAGGUGAACUAUGCCUGAAUAGGG
rnacentral:rRNA from 1 species